rnacentral:rRNA from 1 species
AGAUUGAACGCUGGCGGAAUGCUUUACACAUGCAAGUCGAACGGCAGCACGGGGGCAACCCUGGUGGCGAGUGGCGAACGGGUGAGUAACACAUCGGAACGUGCCCAGUCGUGGGGGAUAACGUAGCGAAAGCUACGCUAAUACCGCAUACGAACUCUGGUUGAAAGCGGGGGACCUGCAAGGGCCUCGCGCGAUUGGAGCCGGCCGAUGGCAGUAUUACGGUAGUUGGUAGGGGUAAAGCUUCACCAAGCCGACGGAUCGUGUAGCUGGUCUGAGAGGACGACCAGCCACGACUGGGGACCUGA